rnacentral:rRNA from 1 species
GAUGAACGCUGGCGGCGUGCCUAAUACAUGCAAGUCGAGCGAACGGACGAGAAGCUUGCUUUUCUGAUGUUAGCGGCGGACGGGUGAGUAACACGUGGAUAACCUACCUAUAAGACUGGGAUAACUUCGGGAAACCGGAGCUAAUACCGGAUAAUAUUUUGAACCGCAUGGUUCAAAAGUGAAAGACGGUCUUGCUGUCACUUAUAGAUGGAUCCGCGCUGCAUUAGCUAGUUGGUAGGGUAACGGCUUACCAAGGCAACGAUGCAUAGCCGACCUGAGAGGGGGAUCGGCCACACUGGAACUGAGACACGGUCCAGACUCCUACGGGAGGCAGCAGUAGGGAAUGUUCCGCAAUGGGCGAAAGCCUGACGGAGCAACGCCGCGUGAGUGAUGAAGGUCUUCGGAUCGUAAAACUCUGUUAUUAGGGAAGAACAUAUGUGUAAGUAACUGUGCACAUCUUGACGGUACCUAAUCAGAAAGCCACGGCUAACUACGUG